rnacentral:tRNA from 1 species
GAGAGUAUGGCUCAAGCGGCAGAGUGCGUGCUUAGUAUGCACAGGGUCCUGGGUUCAAUCCCCACUACUGCCC